AUGAAUGGUUGAAUUCUUACCGAAGGUAACCUUAUUAAAAGGAAUUGGCAUGGAAGUAUGCAAUGUGUGUUCUGUCAUCAUGACAAAACAAUAAAACACUUGUUUUUCCAAUGCAAAUUGGCUCGUUCUCUAUGGUCAUUCAUCCAAGUAGUUUCUGGCUUGUAUUCUCUACGCAGUGUUCCUAAUAUAUUUGGCAACUGGUUAUAUAGGAUUGAUUACACGUUUUGA
rnacentral:rRNA from 1 species